CUCAGUCUCAGAUGAAAGAUUCUCAGUUGAGGAUAUAUCCAACCAAGCCAGACGGAAUAACAUGUAGCCCAGAGGCUUGACGGAGUCACUUAAGGUGAGCAAAUGAGAAAUAGCCACUAAAAUAUUCCAAGUACUGCUGCCAGAUCAGCUCGUCAUGGUUUCAUGUCCACCGGGCUUUUUGCCAUCUUUGGAACAAAGCCACCCAACCAUGUGACAUUAUGAUUAGAUUCAUCUACUUUCAAUCUAAUCCUUAAAGGAAGAUAAUAGUGUUAUUCCUA